UACGUAGGGUGCGAGCGUUAAUCGGAAUUACUGGGCGUAAAGCGUGCGCAGGCGGUUCGUUAAGUUCGUCGUGAAAGCCCCGGGCUCAACCUGGGAACUGCGAUGGAAACUGGCGGGCUUGAGUAUGGCAGAGGGGGGUAGAAUUCCGCGUGUAGCAGUGAAAUGCGUAGAGAUGCGGAGGAACACCGAUGGCGAAGGCAGCCCCCUGGGCCAAUACUGACGCUCAGGCACGAAAGCGUGGGGAGCAAACAGG
rnacentral:rRNA from 1 species